GGGGCUGUUAUGGAUUUGACAGAAUAUACAAAAAUUAUUGCAGCAUGUCGAGGAUUGGUUUGCCUCGUUAAAAAACCAAAUUUAUUAAAUGCAAAACAAAAAAACUACGCUUUAGCAGCUUAAAAACCUAGAUAAAGCCCUUUCUCGCUAAUCUAUUUACUCUCUUUAAUAGAUAAGUUAUAUUUUAGAAAGGUUAUAUUAAAAGAGACAUUCUUAUAUCGUUAAUCUUAAAACAAUAAGAUUGUAUUUUAUUAAGAUACAAAAUAAUACUUUGUUUAUUAAGUCUUAUUUUAAAAAAUUAAAUAAACUAAACAUGUAGAACAAUAAUAUUAGUUAUUUUGGACGCGGGUUCAAAUCCCGCCAGCUCCA
rnacentral:tmRNA from 1 species